rnacentral:lncRNA from 1 species
CUGUUCUCUUUUCUUUAUGCUAUGUCCCUGGUUCUCUCCGUUUCUCAUUCUGUACCACCCCGAUCACGGUCUGCUGGGCACACCCCUGACAGAUGGAUGGGGAGAGGAACUGCUGAGCAUGUCGGGACAGGGGAAGUCUGGUCGGCCAGUUAGUGCUUUUCCCCUCCUGCACAAGCCCCAAGAGGCCAGACUUCCUCCCACUGAUCCUGGUAGGACGAGGAGAUGGGUCCACAGGCCAGUCCCUGACCAACACACCCUAGAGACUACUCGACAGUCUAUGGGGAACCACACGAAACUCCCCUCUGAUGACAGUGCGGUCCUGCUCCCCAGCUCUGAAUCUGAAGGCACUCUCACUCCUUCCAGACUGGAAUGAUGUAGUCUCGACUUCUAAACAGCAGGAAGGCCAAGUUCUCCAAAUAACACUUUGGCUUUGAAGAUGUUAUUUCCACUGCUCAGGAUCCCAUCUCUGAAGAUAUUCAGGAGAACUUUCUCUCUGGUCUGUAGGGCUCUCCUUAGUAGACGGUGAUUUUUCCAUGUGGACACCAUAAAUUCCAUUUGGUUCAUAUUCCCCCCUUUGUGCUGCUAGAAACUGUAGAGCCAAAUUUGGGGCUCCCAUGUGAGAGAGGAUACCGUCUUCCUGGCCUGCAUUUUGGGAAUUAAACUCAUUCCUAAACCCAUCUUCUUUCCCCGCGAGUGUUUUCAUUUUCCAUUAUCUUUCAAGUGGGAUUUAUUUUCUCUUACUAACAAUGUAAACUUUGCUGUCUUUACAACCAGGUGGGGUAGAAAUAAAUAAAAUGAUUAAGUUCUCCCACCCCAAAGGCUAAAAUGGCAGGUGGAGAGAGAGCCGGCUACAGUUUCUGUGGUGUAGAUGUUGGAAUGGGGGAGUGAGGGGGAGCAGAGUAUGAUUUUUCUCAUCUCAAAACAAGCUACCCACACGGGAAAAUGGCGGUUGUCCCGGAACAGGAUCCAAACAGAGAAAAGCUAGUGACCGAUCCAGUGGCACUUAUCAUUCAUGCAACCAUCUCUGAAGUCGUGGACUGCUCAUGUUUGUUCCAGAUAAGAGGGAAAGGGAGGCCAGGACAUCGUCUGGCUACUUUCCAGCCAGCCAGUCCGAUCCCAAGAACGAACAGCGAAAGGCAAGGUAGGCAGAGGUCUGAGACUCAGGUCCUGUGGGAGAAGCAAGAACGAGGGUCUUCAUAGCCCCUGUGGAGGUUUUCUCUGAUGCUGCGGCCCCUGCAACCGGGGCCCCAAUUUCUCAUGUACUUAGGGGACAAGAGCCUUAGCUUGAGCCUGGCGUGGGGUAUCACUUCAUGUCACCCAGACAGCCAGGGGAUUGCAGGAAAGUGGAGACACCUUUCUUCUCAGUGCACCCAGAGGGAACCCCUCUCCUCCAGCUGCUCACUCUGAGCCCCGCAGCACAGUAGGAUGCAGGCAGACCCAGCGCUCUGCUUCCAAGGUGGGGAGGUGCCGACACCAGCUCCUGGCAUGUGGGCACACUGACCACCCAGGGGGCCACCUCUGCCUCAGCCCCUCUGCUGCAGUUUGGGGAAAGGGAGCCUGGAGCAAGGACAGUCGUCCGGGAGGGAAAGUAGGACAGAACAUCUCUUCCUGGGGCACUUGGUUGUGCUCGCUUCGCCUCCAGGAUUCCUGCCCCUCUGAUGGGAACUGCGGUCCCAGCUCCCACUCUGGUUCUGCUGGCAAUGGACCCCGUCUUGGUCACUACCUCUGGGUUCUGCUUCGUGUGCUGCCCCAGAC